AGGCUAAGGAUUAAUGCUGCCGCCCCAGCAGAACACCGUGCCCACCUCGUGUGAGUGCGUUUGAGAAGGCAUUCAGGCGUAUGACUUCUACAACUUGUAUUCGUGAGAGAAGGGUUUUGGCAUCCGGUAUGGCAAGAGAUGGCUAAAUGUCGAGAGGACAGAGUGCAUGCAGGAGAUAGUUGGGUAAAGCUGGGGUCGAGAAAACAAGGACGAGCAGAGGACAACAGGUGGUACAUUGGAGAGCAUAGACAAUCAGAAAUCUCAACAGGGGAAAUGAACCCUCAAGCGCCAGGAUUGUCUAAGGGGUUCGUUCUGAUUUCG